CCUACGGGAGGCAGCAGUGGGGAAUAUUGCACAAUGGGGGAAACCCUGAUGCAGCGACGCCGCGUGAGUGAAGAAGUAAUUCGUUAUGUAACGCUCUAUCAGCAGGGAAGAAAAUGACGGUACCUGAGUAAGAAGCCCCGGCUAACUACGUGCCAGCAGCCGCGGUAAUACGUAGGGGGCAAGCGUUAUCCGGAUUUACUGGGUGGAAAGGGAGCGUAGACGGCAGGGCAAGUCUGGAGUGAAAGGCGGGGGCUCAACCCCCGGACUGCUCUGGAAACUGUACGGCUGGAGUGCAGGAGAGGUAAGUGGAAUUCCUAGUGUAGCGGGGAAAUGCGUAGAUAUUAGGAGGAACACCAGUGGCGAAGGCGGCUUACUGGACUGUAACUGACGUUGAGGCUCGAAAGCGUGGGGAGCAAACAGGAUUAGAUACCCGGGUAGUC
rnacentral:rRNA from 1 species